rnacentral:rRNA from 1 species
ACAGCAGCAGCCGCGGGAAUACGAAGGGUGCAAGCGUUAAUCGGAAUUACUGGGCGUAAAGCGUGCGUAGGCGGUUUGUUAAGUCUGCUGUGAAAUCCCCGGGCUCAACCUGGGAAUGGCAGUGGAUACUGGCAAGCUAGAGUGUGUCAGAGGAUGGUGGAAUUCCCGGUGUAGCGGUGAAAUGCGUAGAGAUCGGGAGGAACAUCAGUGGCGAAGGCGGCCAUCUGGGACAACACUGACGCUGAGGCACGAAAGCGUGGGGAGCAAACAGGAUUAGAUACCCGUGUAGUCCCUGUCUCUUAUAA